GUUACCUACGGGGCGCAGCAGUGAGGAAUAUUGGUCAAUGGCCGCAGGGCUGAACCAGCCAAGUCGCGUGAGGGAUGACGGUCCUAUGGAUUGUAAACCUCUUUUGUCAGGGAGCAAAGGGCGCCACGUGUGGCGUUUUGCGAGUACCUGAAGAAAAAGCAUCGGCUAACUCCGUGCCAGCAGCCGCGGUAAUACGGAGGAUGCGAGCGUUAUCCGGAUUUAUUGGGGUUAAAGGGUGCGCAGGCGGGAUGUCCAGUCAGCGGUAAAAUUUCGGGGCUCAAACCCGUCG
rnacentral:rRNA from 1 species